CAAAGCUCGACCUAUGCUGGAGCGUUGGGCAGACGACAUUGAUGUUGGAGCACUGGAAGGGAAAUGUUAUUUAAGGACCCUACUGGCAUGGGCCAAUGCUCCUAGUCCUAGGUGUUGCACGCACGCGGAUCCUCCACCCAGCCCAUUGCACAUCUCUACUUAACUACACCUGUCCUUUAUCUGCGUGUGUGUGUGCAUAUGCCAGCUGAUCACGGAUCACCUUAUUGCCCCGCUUCACUCCACUCCACUCCAUUUCCCUUCGGUCAAGUCCUCGUUUCUGCCUGCCAAGCAUCUUCUAGGACUUGCGCUUCAUCUGUGGUGACGCCCAGGCAUCAUCUUCUUGCACUCUUCGUCGUCAACCUUGGUCCAGUAGGCUGUUCGGAUGGCUGGGAGAGAAGCUGACUUCCGCUGGAUGGAAGU